rnacentral:lncRNA from 1 species
CAUUCUUUGUAACAGAACUGUAUUUAUGGCAUGUUGGUGGAUAGUGAGGCAAUGGUUAUGUUAAAGGGACUAUCCCUCUGCUUGCUACAUUGUCAUUUGAAUAGAUCAACAUCACUGUUUGGGAUCAUCAACCUCUGCUGUACAUUUUCAAGCCCAAUGGCCAUGAGCAAAGACUGGAGAUGGAAAUUGCUGCUAUUGAAGAUGUGGAUGUGUGAUUGUGGACUAGGAAAUGCCUAAGGACCAG